rnacentral:lncRNA from 1 species
UCUGAGAUGGGAAGAGCUUCUUGAGAAGACUGAUCAACAUCUGAUUCAGGGAAAUAGAUGUGCUCAAUUUGAAUGGAUUAACAGGACUAAAACUACAGAGAAAAAUGUGAAUGUGAAAAAUGGGGAAAAGUCUCACCACUGCAUGGUAUGCCUGGAAUACCAUACAGGAUAUCGACCCAGGAUAACACAGUACUUCCUCCAAGAAGCACUCUUCUCUUCUUGUGCUUAGCUAUUGGGAACAUUUUUAUUGGCAUGGUUCUCCUGGAAGGCCACAUGGUGACCACUGGCCAGUCGAGAGAGGGCAGUCUUAGACCUUGGCACAUUCAUUUCUCAUCAAACCUACCGUGGCCAGUAAAGCCUGGACACAUGGUCAUAUUUUCUGGGUGGAAACACCUAUGCAUUGUGAACUCUCACCCUUACAAGCUCUUCUGCAAUAUUGUUCUUUACAGAUCAUGCUCAUUCUUUUGGAAUAGUAAUACAGAAGGAUUAGAUCAAAUAUUAAUUGAAAAAUAUUACCACAAUAUCAACAUGAUUAGCUACACCAAACCUCUGUGUACAUAUGGGAAAGUUUAUAUAAAGUCAGCAGAGCAAAUAGACUCCUGA